UGUCCAGGUAGUGCUCCAAGUACAUGGCGGUCGCCAUCUUCGUCCGCGGCCGCGCUCUGGGUCUGCGCGGGCGGGCGGCGCCGCGAGGGGCGAAGGGCGGGGCCGGCGCGCUCACUAUUCAUGAGCCUCGCGCGCUGAUUGGCCCGCCGGGGGCGGGGCGGUGGCCGGCCACGCCCUCCGGCUUCCGGUCGGCGGGUUGCGCGCGGCGCUGCGCGGGAGCUGGGCGGCGGGGGUCUGGCGGCGCUUCCGGGGAGGGCGGGGGGCCCUAUGGGGCCCAGUGCGCGCGGGAUCAGGGCCCGCAGGCCCGGACGCCUUGCUUCUGCCCGUUACGCCAGGCCCUCGGCGCCACGUGGCCCCGGGGUCCGGCCGUCCGCUUCCCGCCAGAGGUCCGCGCCUAUGUACGGGCGCCCUGGGUAGUUGGGGCACAGAGCGGGUGCCCGCGAGGGGACGAACGUGGUCCGGGGACCCAGAGGGUCCGCGAGAGCGCGCGGAUGCGCGCCGGAGACCGGGCGGCCAGCGGGGUCGGGGGUCAGCCUCUGCAGCCCUUGUGUCCUCCCUGGCCAGCGCGGGCCUCGGGGAAGGGGCUCCUCAUGCCUCCGCCGGAUCGGGGCACCAAGGAACAGCUGACGACCACACUGGUAACUUGGUCACCUGGCCACAUCUAACUGCAAGGAGAGCUGGGAAAAGGAGUGCAGCAGGGCAAUGAUGCGCCCAGCAGACUCUAUUCUUCCGGAAGCAGCUUUGCUGAGGAAAGGCCGUGUGAGGACACAAUGAGAACUGGACGAUUCCAACUAUAUAACCAUCUAUUCGAUGAGAAGGCAGCCGUCUGCAACUCAAAGGGAGAGUCUCACCAAACAACAACCCUCCUCUCACCUUGAUCUUGGACAUCCAGCCUCCAGACUGUGAGAAAAGAAGCCACUCCAUCUGUGGCAUUUUGUUAUGGCAGCCUAGCUGAAACAGAAAGACUUUGCUGGAUAGUAGCAAUGUCUGACCCAAAUCCUGGAGAUGGAAGGUGUAACACACUAAGAAACAAGGAAACAGGAAAAGGGUUUUAGUCUUUUUACUUUAAUGGAAAAUCUCAAACACACAAAAUUAGAGAGACCAUAAUAAACCCCAUGUGCCCAUCAGCCAAUUUCAACAAUUCUCAGCUUAAUGACCAGUUUUACUUCACCUGUCUCCAAGCACACUCAACCCAGCAUCCUAUCAUUUCCUCCAUGGUGCCCGCUCAUCAGAAGGCCUCCACGGUGGUGUGGAGAGAUCCUACUCCCACUGCUCCAGGGCAGGCUGUGCUGAAGGUCAGGCCAGAGACUUGUCAUUGUAGCAGAGCACACAAGAGACUGGACAUCCAGAUGUGAGGGCUCUCCUCUGCCCAUGUGGGGCCACGAAGUCAGACUGGACACACAGAGAUGCUGCAGUCACCCAUGACCAUGAAGGAGAAGCUAAGAGGAUUGCUGAGAUGUUGCCCCAACACUGGACGUCAGUGAGCAGCAGAAGCAGUUCUUGGCUGCCUAACUCUGGCUUGGCCUUAUGUGAGAUAAUUAAAUAUCCUGAUGGUUUAAGCCACAGUUAGGCUGGUAUUCUGGUACUUAAAGUCAUCCUGAUAAAAAGAGGCAUGACAUGCUGGAAAAGGUGGAAGCAAAA